GCCUGAGUGGCGGAAUGGUAGACGCAGCGGAUUCAAAAUCCGCCGAUGGUAACAUCGUGAGGGUUCGAGUCCCUCCUUAGGCACCA
rnacentral:tRNA from 2 species